rnacentral:rRNA from 1 species
AUGGAAGUAACAGCGAACGUAGCCAGUCCGCCAAGCCGUCCGCUCUCUGUCCGUGUGUCGGCAGAGACGGAAGGUGCUGACAAUUCCACGGCGGAGGAACCCAUGAGCCCUACCGGAAGAAUCUUGGAGGAGAUGGGUGUCUGCAUCGUCAUCGUGAUGGGGCUCAGCACGCCGGUGAACCUGCCCGUCUUCCGCUCCGGCAUCGAAACAGAGCUGAUUACUCGUUCCUCACGCUUCUGCAGCAUUCAAAUAAUGGAUGGACCCAAGGAUGGCAAGCCGCGAUGGGUGCAAACAGCGGUGAACGUGGACGAACACAUCAUCGUCCCGACGUUCGAUCCUGCUGCCGUGGCUUCUAACCCGGAAAAGGCCGUGGAGGACUAUGUAGCGAUGUUGUCCACACUCCCUAUGGACAGGGGACGCCCGCUUUGGGAGUUCCACUUCCUCAACUUGAAGACCUCCGGCGCGGCCUCUACGGUGGUGCUCCGCCUGCACCACUCCAUCGGUGACGCCAUGUCCAUCAUGACACUCUUCAUGGCUUCGGCAUGCAGCACGGCUGACCCAACUAGGCUGCCGGCCAUGCCACCGCCGCCCAGAAGGACCGGCGCGAUCUAUCAACAGCAGACACGACCUCCGUUGUCUUUGUCAAGCCAUUACCUGGCGUGGGUUUGGUCAUAUUUUGUGUUGGCAUGGCACACGCUGGUGGAUGUCGCAUUGCUUGCUGCGACGGUACUGUUCUUGAGAGAUCCCCGUACGAUGUUCACGCAUAUGCCAGAUGCCAGCGGGUCUCGCCGUNNNNNNNNNNGCAAGCGGUUCGUGCAUCGAAGCCUUAGUCUUGACGAUAUCACGCUCAUCAAGACCGUCAUGAACUGCACUAUCAACGAUGUGCUAGUUGGUGUGACUUCAGCAGCUCUUUCACAAUAUUACUUCAGGAAAUCUGGAGACACUAACACAAAGAGAAUCUGCUUGCGAUCAAUCCUCCCUGUCAACACAAGGCCAAUCUCUAGUCGACAAACAUACGUUACCAAGGUCGAGAAGGGGAAUCGACUUAGCAGUCUCAUCUAUCCAUUUCAUAUAGCCUUGCCCAAUGAUCCCCUUGAGUAUGUUCGCAAGGCAAAAAGGUCUAUGCAUAGGAAAAAGAGCUCUUUAGAAGUGAAGUUUAUACAAGUGGUUGUUGAAUUUUUGGUGAAAUACUUUGGCGCAAAGACAGGAGCUUUUAUCUUCCGCCUAUUUGCCACACGUACAAGCAUACUCUUAUCAAAUGUUGUUGGGCCAUCUGAACAUAUAACGCUAUGUGGGCACCCAAUUUCCUUCAUGGCAAUCACCGCCUACGGGCAACCACAGAGGACGAGCAGUAGGAUAAAGGAUCAGAUUGAAGGUGGCAACCGCAUGCACAGUAGAGUGGUCCAAAUAUCACCAAACUUCUUCAAUGUGGGAUGGAGAUUGGUUAGGCGCCACACUCUCCGGCCAGAAGAAAAUGUGAAGAAUAUGACUAUAUGUCUUCAGUGGCACCCAAUCAAUGCGUUAAGUCCUGGAGUUUGGCUCGGCAUAUAUGGUAAAACUUGCAAGAGAGAUCUAAGAAAACUCAUCGGUGUCAACCGAGGUUAG